rnacentral:rRNA from 1 species
AGCGAACGCUGGCGGCAGGCCUAACACAUGCAAGUCGAACGAACCUUUCGGGGUUAGUGGCGGACGGGUGAGUAACACGAGGGAACGUGCCUUUAGGUUCGGAAUAACUCAGGGAAACUUGUGCUAAUACCGAAUGUGCCCUUCGGGGGAAAGAUUAAUCGCCUUUAGAGCGGCCCGCGUCUGAUUAGCUAGUUGGUUGAGGUAAUGGCUCACCAAGGCGACGAUCAGUAGCUGGUCUGAGAGGAUGAUCAGCCACAUUGGGACUGAGACACGGCCCAAACUCCUACGGGAGGCAGCAGUGGGGAAUCUUGCGCAAUGGGCGAAAGCCUGACGCAGCCAUGCCGCGUGAAUGUUGAAGGUCUUAGGAUUGUAAAAUUCUUUCACCGGGGACGAUAAUGACGGUACCCGGAGAAGAAGCCCCGGCUAACUUCGUG